AAUCCUUUGUCCCUGAGUGAGAAUGCUUUCAGAAUGCAGUGCUCCCAGGCAAGGGUUCUG
rnacentral:pre_miRNA from 1 species